UACGGGGGGAGCAAGCGUUGUUCGGAUUUACUGGGCGUAAAGGGCGCGUAGGCGGCCUCCGCAAGUCGACUGUGAAAUCUCCGGGCUUAACCCGGAAAGGUCAGCCGAAACUGCGGGGCUAGAGUGCAGAAGGGGCAACUGGAAUUCUCGGUGUAGCGGUGAAAUGCGUAGAUAUCGAGAGGAACACCUGCGGCGAAGGCGGGUUGCUGGGCUGACACUGACGCUGAAGCGCGAAAGCUAGGGGAGCAAACGGG
rnacentral:rRNA from 1 species